rfam:Phaseolus vulgaris cultivar G19833 chromosome 6, whole genome shotgun sequence.
AGGUGCGAUCGUACCAGCACUAAUGCACCGGAUCCCAUCAGAACGCCGCAGUCAAGCGUGCUUGGGCGAGAGUAGUACUAGGAUGGGUGACCUCCUGGGAAGUCCUCGUGUUGCACUUC